GUACACUCCUACGGGAGGCAGCAGUGGGGAAUAUUGGACAAUGGGCGCAAGCCUGAUCCAGCCAUGCCGCGUGAGUGAUGAAGGCCCUAGGGUUGUAAAGCUCUUUCACCGGUGAAGAUAAUGACGGUAACCGGAGAAGAAGCCCCGGCUAACUUCGUGCCAGCAGCCGCGGUAAUACGAAGGGGGCUAGCGUUGUUCGGAUUUACUGGGCGUAAAGCGCACGUAGGCGGACUAUUAAGUCAGGGGUGAAAUCCCGGGGCUCAACCCCGGAACUGCCUUUGAUACUGGUAGUCUUGAGUUCGAGAGAGGUGAGUGGAAUUCCGAGUGUAGAGGUGAAAUUCGUAGAUAUUCGGAGGAACACCAGUGGCGAAGGCGGCUCACUGGCUCGAUACUGACGCUGAGGUGCGAAAGCGUGGGGAGCAAACAGGAUUAGAAACCCGGGUAGUCCCAUGA
rnacentral:rRNA from 1 species